rnacentral:rRNA from 1 species
CUUGCUCCUGGGCGUCGAGCGGCGGACGGGUGAGUAAAGCGUAGGAAUCUGCCCAACGGUGGGGGAUAACCCGGGGAAACUCGGGCUAAUACCGCAUAAUCCUUACGAGGCAAAGCGGAGGACCCUUCGGGGCUUCGCGCCGAUGGAUGAGCCUACGUCUGAUUAGCUUGUUGGUGGGGUAAUGGCCUACCAAGGCGACGAUCAGUAGCUGGUCUGAGAGGAUGAUCAGCCACACCGGGACCGAGACACGGCCCGGACUCCUACGGGAGGCAGCAGUGGGGAAUCUUGGACAAUGGGCGAAAGCCUGAUCCAGCCAUGCCGCGUGUGUGAAGAAGGCCCUAGGGUUGUAAAGCACUUUAAGCAGGGAAGAAAAAGCCCGGGUUAAUACCCCGAGGCCUUGACGGUACCUGCAGAAUAAGCACCGGCUAAUUCCGUGCCAGCAGCCGCGGUAAUACGGAAGGUGCGAGCGUUAAUCGGAAUUACUGGGCGUAAAGCGCGCGUAGGCGGUUUGUUAAGCGGGAUGUGAAAGCCCAGGGCUCAACCUUGGAAUGGCAUUCCGAACUGGCAGGCUAGAGUGUAGAAGAGGGGUGUGGAAUUUCCGGUGUAGCGGUGAAAUGCGUAGAGACCGGAAGGAACACCAGUGGCGAAAGCGACACCCUGGUCUAACACUGACGCUGAGGUGCGAAAGCGUGGGUAGCAAACAGGAUUAGAUACCCUGGUA